CAAAUAUAACAGCUAUAUAAGGAAAAAUAAAUGCAUUAAUGUUCAGUACUACCAAUACAAUAAAUAUAUCAAAUACUUUCUACUACAUAAAAAACCAACCCCCAAAAUGUCUAUUUUCAAGAUAUGCCUGUUCCUGUCCGUUUUCUGUGCAAUGGGAAUGGCACAGACACUAUCACCUAAUCUUAAUGACACUGUUGGCAAUAUAACUACAUCUAGCAUUCCUACCAACAGCAUCGUUUUUAGUGUACCACCUAUCAGUUUCCCUUCUGGUACCAUUGUGGUUCGAACUUAAUUUAUUCUCAAUAUGUUUAUUUGAAAACGGAUUAUUUUCUAUUAAAUUGAUGAUUUUAUGGUUUAUAUUGUUAAUAUAUGUUACGUUUAAAUAAAAUAUUCAGCAUUCA